GGGGGAACCCUGAUGCAGCGACGCCGCGUGAGCGAUGAAGCCCUUCGGGGUGUAAAGCUCUUUCGGCAGGGAAGAUGAUGACGGUACCUGCAGAAGCAGCUGCGGCUAACUACGUGCCAGCAGCCGCGGUAAUACGUAGGCAGCGAGCGUUGUUCGGAGUUACUGGGCGUAAANGGUGUGUAGGCGGUUGCUUAAGUUUGGUGUGAAAUCUCCCGGCUCAACCGGGAGGGUGCGCCGAAUACUGAGUGACUCGAGUGCGGGAGAGGAAAGUGGAAUUCCUGGUGUAGCGGUGAAAUGCGUAGAUAUCAGGAGGAACACCGGUGGUGUAGACGGCUUUCUGGACCGUAACUGACGCUGAGACACGAAAGCGUGGGUAGCAAACAGGAUUAGAUACCCUGGUAGUCCACGCCCUAAACGAUGCAUAUUUGGUGUGGGCAGUUCAUUCUGUCCGUGCCGGAGCUAACGCGUUAAAUAUGCCGCCUGGGGAGUACAGUCGCAAGGCUGAAACUCAAAGGAAUUGACGGA
rnacentral:rRNA from 1 species